rnacentral:rRNA from 1 species
UACGUAGGUGGCAAGCGUUGUCCGGAUUUACUGGGUGUAAAGGGCGUGCAGCCGGGCUGACAAGUCAGAUGUGAGAUCCCGCGGCUCAACCGCGGAACUGCAUUUGAAACUGUCAGUCUUGAGUACCGGAGAGGUCAUCGGAAUUCCUUGUGUAGCGGUGAAAUGCGUAGAUAUAAGGAAGAACACCAGUGGCGAAGGCGGAUGACUGGACGGCAACUGACGGUGAGGCGCGAAAGCGUGGGGAGCAAACAGG